rnacentral:rRNA from 1 species
GCUCAGAUUGAACGCUGGCGGCAGGCCUAACACAUGCAAGUCGAGCGGCAGCACGGGAAGCUUGCUUCCUGGUGGCGAGCGGCGGACGGGUGAGUAAUGCAUAGAAAUCUGCCCGGUAGUGGGGGAUAACCUGGGGAAACCCAGGCUAAUACCGCAUACGUCCUACGGGAGAAAGCAGGGGAUCUUCGGACCUUGCGCUAUCGGAUGAGUCUAUGUCGGAUUAGCUUGUUGGUGAGGUAAUGGCUCACCAAGGCGACGAUCCGUAGCUGGUCUGAGAGGAUGAUCAGCCACAUCGGGACUGAGACACGGCCCGAACUCCUACGGGAGGCAGCAGUA